ACAUUUUUAAGAGAUUCAAAUUUAUUAAUUAUUUUAGGUGCAUAUGGCAAAAAAUUUAAAUAUGUAUUUUAAAAGGUAGAAUUAUGUAUUGACUCCAGCUUGCCCCUGAUAAUUGAUGUUACCAAACGGGAAUCAAACCAUCAUAAGCCAAUAUAUAAAAUACUAUAAGACAAGUGGUUAAAACAUACUCCCUCUGUUUCAUAUUAAGUGUUAUUUUAAUUCAUUUUUCUUGUUUCACAAAGAGUAUCAUUCUAUAAUAUCAAUGCAAUUUAUACAAUCUUUCAGUUCAAAAUUAAUUGCAAAAUGCAUUGAUUUUAUAAAUAAAUUGAUCUAUCUAAAAUGCUAUUGGUUAGUGAAAACAUAAAUGUAUUUUAAUAAGUUUCUUGUGUGAAAAAUGUCUAAGUGACACUCUUCGUGAAACGGAGGGAGUACUAUAUUACUCAAUUCAUAAUAAGCCAAACGGGAACCAAACCACAAUAAGUCACUACAAAUUUUAUAAAAGUAUUAAAAGACGCGUAAUUCAGGGCAAAUGCGUGGACAUGAUGAUGUUUAACAUCUUUUUUUUUUUAUGUUUAACAUCUAUAUGUUAUCUAUAUAUAUAUAUACAUGCGAAUAGGUAUCUACUACCAAGUACCUUCUACAUACCUACAGUAAUAUUCUCUUUAAUGGCUAGUCUACUGCAGAUGGGUUUACCUCUUAUUUACAGGAAUACUCUUGUGAAGAGCAUCCAACGUCCUCGGUCUUUCACUUGCACCAUAGUAGCCAAAACAACAAGGGCCGAUGAGUCUCCAGUUGUGCUUCGUCGUUCCGCAAACUAUCAGCCUUCUCUUUGGGACCAUCAUCACCUCCUCUCGGUCGAGAAUAAAUAUUCGAAAGAUGAAAGUGUGCAUGAUAGAGAUUUGUUGAAAGAAAAUGUGAGGACGAUGCUCAAUGACGAGAGGACCACUCAUCUCGAGCAAUUGGAGCUCAUUGACGAUCUGCAAAAACUAGGCGUUUCUUACCAUUUUGAACGGGAAAUAGACAAUAUUUUGACAUUUACUUAUCACAAAGAUAGAAGAAACUUCAUGGAGUAUGACAUGGAAUACGAUCUACAUGCUACUGCACUCGAAUUCCGACUGCUCAGACAACAUGGUUUCAAUGUUCCAGAAGAUGUAUUUGAUGUUUUCAUGGAAAACUGUGGAAAGUUUGACAGCCAUGAUAUAAAUGGCCUCUUAUCUCUGUACGAGGCGUCAUAUCUUUCAACAAAAUCGGACACUAAACUGCAAAAAAACAUUAGAGUUUUUGCAACACAACAACUCAGAAACUUUGUUGAUACUCAUGGUAGUAAAGAUUUGUCAUCCUGUGAUGUGGAGAUGGUGGUCCAAGCGUUAGAUAUGCCAUACCAUUGGCGAAUGGGAAGGCUAGCCACGAGAUGGUACAUAGAUAUGUAUGGAAAGAAACAUAACAAGAACCCUAUGUUACUUGAAUUCUCCAAGCUCGAUUUCAGUAUCGUACAAGCUGUUUAUCAAGAAGAACUCAAAUACGUUUCCAGCUGGUGGAGGGAGACAGGUUUAGCUAAUCAACUUCACUUUUCAAGAGAUAGAAUAGUGGAGAAUUAUUUUUGGACUACUGGACAAAUCCAAGAGCCUCAAUUUGGGAAGUUGGGAUGUGAAUCGUCUUGAUGACCUCCCCGAGUACAUGAGGCUGUGUUUUCUUGUUGUUUACAAUGAAGUAAAUAACAUUGGAUGUGAUAUCCUCAGAAAUAAAGAUAUCAACGUCAUUCCUUUCCUCAAAAAGUCUUGGGCAGAUGUAUGCAAGGCAUAUUUAGUAGAAGCAAUGUGGUACAAAGGAGGGUACAAACCAAAUUUGGAAGAAUACAUGCAAAAUGCUUGGAUUUCAAUCUCGUCCCCAACAAUAUUUGUUCACUUCUACUGUGUAUUCUCCGAGCAACUCUCUGUUCAAGUCUUGGAGACUUUGUCCGAACACCGACAAAACAUCGCCAGAUGCUCUUCCUUUGUGUUCCGUCUAGCCAAUGACCUUGUAACCUCGCCGGAUGAAAUGGCGAGAGGAGAUGUCCUCAAAUCGAUCCAAUGUUACAUGAACGAGACCGGAGUUUCAGAAGAGAAAGCACGCAUGCACGUGCAGAAGAUGAUCAACGACAUGUGGGAUGAAAUGAAUUAUGAGAAAAUAGAAAAUCACUCUUCGCUGAUCCCUCAAGAUUUUGCGGAAACAGUAAUAAAUUUGGCACGUAUGUCGCAAUGCAUGUAUCAAUACGGAGAUGGCCAGUCCAGAGAAAUCCAAAGUCAUUGAUCGUGUCAUGUCCUUACUCUUUAGUCCCAUUCCUCUGGAGUAACUUGUAUACUAUGUAUGUUUUUAAAUAAAUUGUUGGUCUUAUUAGACUUUGGUCUUUGGACUUAGUCAUAAAAGAUGGAAUAAGCUCCGAGAAUGUAGGAGCCUGGAAUGUUUUAGUAGCUACUUUGAAUGUUUCUAUGUUUGCUGCAAGUCCUCCGAAUAUGUAAGAGGCAGUUGCUUUUGUACAUAAUCGGCUGUAAGGGCCACUCAAGUAAUAAAAACGAAUUAGUUUUUACUUUU